rnacentral:rRNA from 1 species
ACACGUGAGUAACCUGCCCUUGACUCUGGGAUAACCUCCGGAAACGGAAGCUAAUACCGGAUAUGACGUACGGAGGCAUCUCCUGUGCGUGGAAAGAAUUUCGGUCAAGGAUGGACUCGCGGCCUAUCAGGUAGUUGGUGAGGUAACGGCUCACCAAGCCUACGACGGGUAGCCGGCCUGAGAGGGUGACCGGCCACACUGGGACUGAGACACGGCCCAGACUCCUACGGGAGGCAGCAGUGGGGAAUAUUGCACAAUGGGCGCAAGCCUGAUGCAGCAACGCCGCGUGAGGGACGACGGCCUUCGGGUUGUAAACCUCUUUUAGUAGGGAAGAAGCGAAAGUGACGGUACCUGCAGAAAAAGCACCGGCUAACUACGUGCCAGCAGCCGCGGUAAUACGUAGGGUGCAAGCGUUGUCCGGAAUUAUUGGGCGUAAAGAGCUCGUAGGCGGUUUGUCGCGUCUGCUGUGAAAACCCGAGGCUCAACCUCGGGCCUGCAGUGGGUACGGGCAGACUAGAGUGCGGUAGGGGAGAAUGGAAUUCCUGGUGUAGCGGUGGAAUGCGCAGAUAUCAGGAGGAACACCGAUGGCGAAGGCAGUUCUCUGGGCCGUAACUGACGCUGAGGAGCGAAAGCGUGGGGAGCGAACAGGAUUAGAUACCCUGGUAGUCCACGCCGUAAACGUUGGGCGCUAGAUGUGGGGACCAUUCCACGGUUUCCGUGUCGCAGCUAACGCAUUAAGCGCCCCGCCUGGGGAGUACGGCCGCAAGGCUAAAACUCAAAGGAAUUGACGGGGGCCCGCACAAGCGGCGGAGCAUGCGGAUUAAUUCGAUGCAACGCGAAGAACCUUACCAAGGCUUGACAUAUACGAGAACGGGCCAGAAAUGGUCAACUCUUUGGACACUCGUAAACAGGUGGUGCAUGGUUGUCGUCAGCUCGUGUCGUGAGAUGUUGGGUUAAGUCCCGCAACGAGCGCAACCCUCGUUCUAUGUUGCCAGCACGUAAUGGUGGGAACUCAUAGGAGACUGCCGGGGUCAACUCGGAGGAAGGUGGGGAUGACGUCAAAUCAUCAUGCCCCUUAUGUCUUGGGCUUCACGCAUGCUACAAUGGCCGGUACAAAGGGCUGCAAUACCGUAAGGUGGAGCGAAUCCCAAAAAGCCGGUCUCAG